rnacentral:rRNA from 1 species
GACGAACGCUGGCGGCGUGCUUGACACAUGCAAGUCGAACGGAAAGGCCCUGCUUUUGUGAGGUGCUCGAGUGGCGAACGGGUGAGUAACACGUGAGUAACCUGCCCUUGACUUUGGGAUAACUUCAGGAAACUGGGGCUAAUACCGGAUAGGAGCUCCUGCUGCAUGGUGGGGGUUGGAAAGUUUCGGCGGUUGGGGAUGGACUCGCGGCUUAUCAGCUUGUUGGUGGGGUAGUGGCUUACCAAGGCUUUGACGGGUAGCCGGCCUGAGAGGGUGACCGGCCACAUUGGGACUGAGAUACGGCCCAGACUCCAACGGGCGGCAACAGUGGGGAAUAUUGCACAAUGGGCGGAAGCCUGAUGCAGCAACGCCGCGUGCGGGAUGACGGCCUUCGGGUUGUAAACCGCUUUCGCCUGUGACGAAGCGUGAGUGACGGUAAUGGGUAAAGAAGCACCGGCUAACUACGUG